GACAGAGGGUGCAAACGUUGUCCGGAAUCAUUGGGCGUAAAGCGCGCGUAGGCGGCCUCAUAAGUCCGUUGUGAAAGUCAAAGGCUCAACCUUUGAAAGCCGAUGGAUACUGUGAGGCUAGAGUCCGGAAGAGGCGAGUGGAAUUCCUGGUGUAGCGGUGGAAUGCGCAGAUAUCAGGAGGAACACCAAUAGCGAAGGCAGCUCGCUGGGACGGUACUGACGCUGAGACGCGAAAGCGUGGGGAGCGAACAGG
rnacentral:rRNA from 1 species